rnacentral:rRNA from 1 species
CAUGUAGGCGGCAUGACAAGUCUGGUGUGAAAUAUCUCGGCUCAACCGAGAAAACGCACUGGAAUCUGUCAAGCUUGAGUAUCGGAGGGGAAGCUAGAAUUCCUGGUGUAGGGGUGAAAUCUGUAGAUAUCAGGAAGAAUACCGGUGGCGAAGGCGAGCUUCUGGCCAGACACUGACGCUGAGAUGCGAAAGCGUGGGGAGCGAACAGGAUUAGAUACCCUGGUAGUCC